rnacentral:lncRNA from 1 species
CAUGUCAUACCCAACCAAGUGCUAGCAAUGGUGGUGCCUUCCGGUAGCGAACCGGGAUCAUAUUCGCCAACUUGUGGCCAUCUGUGUCUCAUACGUAUAAAUAUAGGCAAUAGGCCCCAUACCUUCCGAUUAUAGCUCGGAAGUAGAAUGCAUAGCAUGUAAUGUCAUGGAUCCGUAAUGCAUUUGUUACCUGAAUCAUGUUGCCA